rnacentral:rRNA from 1 species
UCAGUCGACUCCUACGGGGAGGCAGCAGUGGGGAAUAUUGCACAAUGGGGGAAACCCUGAUGCAGCCAUGCCGCGUGUGUGAAGAAGGCCUUCGGGUUGUAAAGCACUUUCAGUAGGGAGGAAGGUAGUGUAGUUAACACCUGCACUAUUUGACGUUACCUACAGAAGAAACACCGGCUAACUCCGUGCCAGCAGCCGCGGUAAUACGGAGGGUGCGAGCGUUAAUCGGAAUUACUGGGCGUAAAGCGCAUGCAGGCGGCCUGUUAAGUCAGAUGUGAAAGCCCGGGGCUUAACCUCGGAAUUGCAUUUGAAACUGGCAGGCUAGAGUCUUGUAGAGGGGGGUAGGAAUUUCAGGUGUAGCGGUGAAAUGCGUAGAGAUCUGAAGGAAUACCAGUGGCGAAGGCGGCCCCCUGGACAAAGACUGACGCUCAGAUGCGAAAGCGUGGGGAGCAAACAGGAUUAGAUACCCUGGUAG